GGCCGAUUAGCUCGGUCAGUUGAGCAUGGUGCUGGUAACACCAAGGCUGCGGGUUCGAUCCCUGUUCAGUCU
rnacentral:tRNA from 1 species